rnacentral:ncRNA from 1 species
UUGUGUAUUUUGUUAAGCAAAAUCGUCUAAGUCAUUUCCUAGGGUGGGAAAAUCAUUUUGGCCAGGGAAUCGGGGAAUUCUUUGUCUUGGCCAUAGGGUUGGCUAUUGUGUUCUUGUAUUCACAUAUUAAUACGAGUUGGGAAGAAAUUCCUGUAUAUCGUGUGUGCCUUUUUACUGUUUAUGCUGCCUAUUUCGUUCUAAGUUUCAAACGUCCCUAAAAUAAAACUAAGUGUUGGAAAGGCUGAAGUCAAGGCUGGGCUUGACUGCCGCACGGAGGUGAACCUCGAGUAGAAAUUUGAGUGACAUAAAUCACCCCUGUGACACCUACCAUGGUGGUGACGGGUGACGGAGAAUUAGGGUUCGAUUCCGGAGAGGGAGCCUGAGAAACGGCUACCACAUCCAAGGAAGGUAGCAGGCGCGCAAAUUACCCAAUCCUGACACGGGGAGGUAGUGACAAUAAAUAACAAUACCGGGCUCUAUGAGUCUGGUAAUUGGAAUGAGUACAAUCUAAAUCCCUUAACGAGGAUCCAUUGGAGGUCAAGUCUGGUGCCAGCAGUCGCGGUAAUUCCAGCUCCAAUAGCGUAUAUU